AGACGUGAGGGCGAUCUGGACGCAACAUCUAUCACCCCACUGAUCUCUGGAGUUGAUUUCGGCUGAUCUGGCUGGCUAGGCGCGUCCGCUUCCUCCCAAACCGCUCCGUGUGCGUCCCUCCCAAAUUGUGUGUUUGAUCAAGGAGGAUGAACUUCCCUGCUAAAGGAAGACCCAUCUUCAGUUCAAGAGUAUACGACCAGCUGCACUCCCAUGCAGGAACCUCAAACCAAGCUCUCAAGAAUGCACAGGCACCAAUCUUAAGACAUAACAAAAAAUGUCUGCUACUAUCAACUUCAUCU
rnacentral:snRNA from 1 species